rnacentral:rRNA from 1 species
GAUGAACGCUGGCGGCGUGCCUAAUACAUGCAAGUCGAGCGAACGGACGAGAAGCUUGCUUCUCUGAUGUUAGCGGCGGACGGGUGAGUAACACGUGGAUAACCUACCUAUAAGACUGGGAUAACUUCGGGAAACCGGAGCUAAUACCGGAUGAUAUUUUGAACCGCAUGGUUCAAAAGUGAAAGACGGUCUUGCUGUCACUUAUAGAUGGAUCCGCGCUGCAUUAGCUAGUUGGUAAGGUAACGGCUUACCAAGGCAACGAUGCAUAGACGACCUGAGAGGGUGGUCGGCCACACUGGAGCUGAGACACGGUCCAGACUCCUAAGGGAGGCAGCAGUAGGGAAUCUUACGCAAUGGGCGAAAGCCUGACGGAGCAACGGCGCGUGAGUGAUGAAGGUCUUCGGAUCGUAAAACUCUGUUAUUAGGGAAAAACAUAUGUGGAAGUAACUGUGCACAUCUUGACGGUACCUAAUCAGAAAGCCACGGCUAACUACGUG